CCCUUAGAUGUUCUGGGCCGCACACGCGCUACACUGAAGGAGGCAGCGUGUACUCCUGGAUCGAAAGAUUUGGGUAACCCGCGAAUCUCCUUCGUGCUAGGGAUUGAGGUUUGCAAUUAUCCUUCAUGAACGAGGAAUUCCCAGUAAGUGCAAGUCAUAAGCUUGCGCUGACUACGUCCCUGCCCUUUGUACACACCGCCCGUCGCUACUACCGAUUGAAUGAUUUAGUGAGGACUUCGGACUGGGACCGAUGCGGCUUUCGGGCUGCGUCGGUAUUCUGGAAAGAUGUCCAAACUGUAUCAUUUAGAGGAAGUAAAANUCAUANCA
rnacentral:rRNA from 1 species